AAGAAAAAGAAAGAAAACGGGGAGGAAGGAAGGAAGGGAGAGACCGAGGGAGAGACGAAAAUGCGUCGCCCUCCCUUCUCUCUUCGAACUGCCCUCUCUCUUUGUCCUUCCUUCUUUCUGUCUGUUUCUCUUAUGUUGAGUUCUUUAUUUAUUUAUUGCGCGCAUGUUGUUUGGAGUGAAGAAAAGAGAAGGGCGUAUGUUUCCUUUCCUUUCUGCAUGUCGCCUUCUCACUGCACCUGAAUGAAUACACAUGCCCUCCUUCAUUGUGUCUUUGUGUGCAUGUGUGUGGGGGAACUUUGACGUCUGAAUUAAAAGAAAAGAAAAGAAAAG
rnacentral:ribozyme from 11 species